rnacentral:tRNA from 1 species
AUCUCCAUAGUAUACACAGUAUAGAGGUCUUCCAAACCUAAGGUCCCUGCAUGGGAGGGGAUA